UGAAUUGAAGAGUUUGAUCAUGGCUCAGAUUGAACGCUGGCGGCAGGCUUAACACAUGCAAGUCGAACGGUAACAUAAAGAAGCUUGCUUCUUUGAUGACGAGUGGCGGACGGGUGAGUAAUGCUUGGGAAUCUAGCUUAUGGAGGGGGAUAACUACGGGAAACUGUAGCUAAUACCGCGUAAUAUCGAAAGAUUAAAGUGUGGGACCUUCG
rnacentral:rRNA from 1 species